UACGGAGGGGGCUAGCGUUGUUCGGAAUUACUGGGCGUAAAGCGCACGUAGGCGGCUUUGUAAGUUAGAGGUGAAAGCCCGGGGCUCAACUCCGGAAUUGCCUUUAAGACUGCAUCGCUAGAAUUGUGGAGAGGUAAGUGGAAUUCCGAGUGUAGCGGUGAAAUGCGUAGAGAUCGGGAGGAACACCAGAGGCGAAGGCGGCGACCUGGACAGGUACUGACACUCAACUACGAAAGCGUGGGGAGCAAACAGG
rnacentral:rRNA from 1 species